UACGUAGGGGGCUAGCGUUGCUCGGAAUCACUGGGCGUAAAGCGCUCGUAGGCGGCUUUCUAAGUCAGGGGUGAAAUCCUGGAGCUCAACUCCAGAACUGCCUUUGAUACUGGAGAGCUUGAGUCCGGAAGAGGUGAGUGGAACUCCGAGUGUAGAGGUGAAAUUCGUAGAUAUUCGGAAGAACACCAGUGGCGAAGGCGGCUCACUGGUCCGGUACUGACGCUGAUGUGCGAAAGCGUGGGGAUCAAACAGG
rnacentral:rRNA from 1 species